UCCUGGCUAGCUCAGUCGGUUGAGCUUGAGACCCUUAAUCUCAGGGUCGUGGGUUCGAGCCCCAUGCUGGUGCU